rnacentral:rRNA from 1 species
AGCGAACGUUAGCGGCGGGCCUAACACAUGCAAGUCGAACGCGAAAGGUCUUCGGACUGAGUAGAGUGGCGCACGGGUGAGUAACACGUAGGUAAUCUACCCUUUGGCGGGGGAUAACGUUCCGAAAGGAGCGCUAAUACCGCAUAAGACCACGGAGUCUCCGGACGCUGUGGGAAAAGGUGGCCUCUUCUUGAAAGCUACCACCGAAGGAUGAGCCUGCGUCCCAUCAGCUAGUUGGUAAGGUAAUGGCUUACCAAGGCGAAGACGGGUAGCUGGUUUGAGAGAAUGAUCAGCCACACUGGCACUGGAACACGGGCCAGACUCCUACGGGAGGCAGCAGUGAGGAAUAUUGGGCAAUGGGCGAAAGCCUGACCCAGCCACGCCGCGUGAGUGAUGACGGCCCUCGGGUCGUAAAGCUCUGUGGAGAGGGACGAAAACCCUGGUUUCAAAUAGGCUCCAGGCUUGACGGUACCUCUUUAGCAAGCACCGGCUAACUCUGUGCCAGCAGCCG